rnacentral:rRNA from 1 species
UAAGGAAUAUUGGUCAAUGCCCGGAAGGGUGAACCAGCCAUCCCGCGUGAAGGAUGAAGGGGCUCUGCCUUGUAAACUUCUUUUGAAUGGGACGAAAAAGCCUCACUUGUGAGGAACUGACGGUACCAUUAGAAUAAGCACCGGCUAACUCCGUGCCAGCAGCCGCGGUAAUACGGAGGGUGCGAGCGUUAUCCGGAAUCACUGGGUUUAAAGGUGCGUAGGCGGCUGUAUAAGUCAGUGGUGAAAGGCUGUGGCUUAACCAUGGGAUUGCCAUUGAUACUGUACGGCUUGAAUUAGGAUGAGGUUGGCGGAAUGUGACAUGUAGCGGUGAAAUGCUUAGAUAUGUCAUGGAACACCGAUGGCGAAGGCAGCCCCCUGGGCUAACACUGACGCUCAUGCACGAAAGCGUGGGGAGCAAACAGGAUUAGAUACCCUUGUAGUCCCUGAGCGGGCUGGCAAGGCGCAU